UACAGAGGUCUCAAGCGUUGUUCGGAUUCAUUGGGCGUAAAGGGUGCGUAGGCGGCGCGGUAAGUCGGGUGUGAAAUUUCGAGGCUUAACUUCGAAACUGCAUUCGAUACUGCCGUGCUUGAGGACUGGAGAGGAGACUGGAAUUUACGGUGUAGCGGUGAAAUGCGUAGAUAUCGGGAAGAACACCAGUGGCGAAGGCGCUCUACUGGGCCACAACUGACGCUGAGGGACGAAAGCUAGGGGAGCGAAAGGG
rnacentral:rRNA from 1 species